rnacentral:rRNA from 3 species
GAGCGGCGAACGGGUGAGUAACACGUGAGUAACCUGCCCCUGACUCUGGGAUAAGCCCGGGAAACUGGGUCUAAUACCGGAUACGACACCUCCCCGCAUGGGGUGGGUGUGGAAAGUUUUUCGGUUGGGGAUGGACUCGCGGCCUAUCAGCUUGUUGGUGGGGUAAUGGCCUACCAAGGCGACGACGGGUAGCCGGCCUGAGAGGGCGACCGGCCACACUGGGACUGAGACACGGCCCAGACUCCUACGGGAGGCAGCAGUGGGGAAUAUUGCGCAAUGGGCGAAAGCCUGACGCAGCGACGCCGCGUGGGGGAUGACGGCCUUCGGGUUGUAAACCUCUUUCAGCAGGGACGAAGUUGACGUGUACCUGCAGAAGAAGCGCCGGCUAACUACGUGCCAGCAGCCGCGGUAAUACGUAGGGCGCAAGCGUUGUCCGGAAUUAUUGGGCGUAAAGAGCUCGUAGGUGGCUUGUCACGUCGGGUGUGAAAGCUUGGGGCUUAACUCCAGGUCUGCAUUCGAUACGGGCUGGCUAGAGGUAGGUAGGGGAGAACGGAAUUCCU